UCUGUUUAAUUCAGAUUAUCUGACCUGCUUAAAUAUCACCACAUUUUCAUAUUUGUGCACAUAUCUGACGAGGUGGUGUGUUGAUCCGGUUCUGGGUGCAAGAA